rnacentral:rRNA from 1 species
AUGUGUAUGAUCCGGCCACCAAUCUUCGAGGUUCCAGGAGUACACCUGGUGGAACUUGAUGACCACUUGUGUAUGGUCCGGGACCUUCGUCCUGAUACUAGUAUUAUGGAGAUUUGGGAAAUGAAGGACUGUAACUCUGGUGAUUGGAUGUUGGCACAUCGCAUUGAUAUGUUACAACAUGUUCAAAGAGGUUUGACAGAGCCGCAAAUUAUUAGAGUCAUUGGUUCUGUUGGCAAUUGUGGAUCAAGGAACAAGGUAAUCUUGGCUACAUCCAAACGCAAGGUGAUUACCUAUGACCCAGUAUCUGGAACUCUGGAAACCAUUCUUGCAAUCAGAGGAACUCAUUCAUCUUACGAAACUGAGCAAUCUGCUCCUAGAGUCAGUUUAUUUAAAGAGAAUCUUGCUCCGGUGCACAGAACAAAUGAAGAGAUAGCCUUGUGUUCUCCCCUGGCCAAGGCAACUAAGGAGAUCCUACUCCGACUCCCGGGUAAUUUUGCCUUGCAAUUCAAGCUGGUCAGCAAGCAGUGGCUUACAUUGAUCGAGAGUCGAAGCUUCAUGCGCUCUUACUAUGAGCAUAACAACAUAGACAGGAGGCCCAAGAUCAUGCUUGUGGGCAAGGGUGCUAGAGGUCUGGGUUUCAGUUUUGCUCCCAUGGGUAAAUUGCUUCGAGAGGCUCCUAGUCAAGGAACAUGGCUUGACACAAAGGUGGUUUGCUCCAAGCCUUGUCAUGGCAUGAACCUGUUAAGUACUGAGAGUGAGGACUAUCUCUACAACCCUUGCACAGGUUACUGCAGUAGCUACCACACUCGAGGGAGGCUCGCCUAUGUGCCCAACCAUAUACUCUCGAUGAUGCAUGACAGUGUCAGUACACCAGAAGAUCAUGCUUUUCGUGUUGGCAACAGGAAUGUUGGCCUGGGGUUCAAUCUUCUUACACAGGAGCAUGUCAUUGUUCAAAUCUUAUAUCACUUGAAGGACUUUGAAUCUCGUCAAUAUUUAUUGACAUUCUCAGUAAUUGCCCCUGGUUCGGUGCAAGACCACUUUGAGCCGCCUCUUCCUUUAAAUGACAUGCCACCAACCUAUCUGUCAGGAGUACUAUAUUGGAUGAGUGAACCAAGGUUAGGCCAGAGUUAUGAGAGGGCCAUUGUGUCGUAUAACAUUGCGACUAGGACGUUUGGUGUCAUCAACUGCCCCUCAAGCAUCGCAAUGUGGAACAGCACAAGUCCAUCCCAAGCAUUUGUGGUAGAGCUUGAGGGGAUAUUAUGCGCUGUUCAUGCAGAUCCAGUUGCAGAAGAGUUAGAUAUUUGGAAGCUGGAACAUGGUCGAUGGGAUAGAGCAUGUAAAAUAUAUUUAGAAGAUUGCUCAGGCUAUUCCCUUGGAGCAAAUGUUGUGGUUCCCCUGGCCGUUGACCCCAAGGUUGGGAGAAUCAUGCUGAACACAGGGCGGAAAUUGGGUCUUUAUGAUCCAACAAAGCAAUCGGUUGAGAACUUGUAUGAUCUUGAUGAGGUCUUGCAUGUCACAAGUUCAGAGCAGGCUCCACGCGUUGGAGUGUAUGAAGAUGUCCAAAUGACCAAAUGCGGACAUCAUGUCGAGAAGUUCUUCUCGCCGAAGUCACCUUUGGAGCAGCCCACGUUUUUCGGUGAGCCUUCACCUAAGUUAUCUGGGAAGCAAUUUACGUGCUCCAAUGGCGUUGAACCUUUGGAGGGGAGAACUCCUCUAGACAGUAAAGUUAUGCCUUUGGUCCCAAUGUUAUAUGAAGAGAGCUUGGCAAGCUUUCCCCGUGUUUGCAAAACGAGGUGGUUAAGCUGA